AUUAGGUGAUAUUAAUAAAGGCGAAUUAUGGCUUGAUUGUUCAAAACUGCUUUAAAACAAUAAAACUCACUGUUUGUAAAUAGAUAACUAAAUCGCUUGAAAUUAAUAUCCAUCAUAAUUUUGAAGCUUUGUUCAUUGGGAUGUUUGCAGCAGAGGGUCUGUUGACAUAUUUCACAGAAGCCACGCCCACAAUGCCUGGAUGCUGGUGUUGUAUUGGCAGGAAGCACAGAGGACAAGGCAGCAUUGGCUGUUUUUUUUUUUUUUUUUUUUUUUUUUUUUUUUUUUUUAAAGAAGGGUCCCAAAAACUGCACACAGAUUUAGAAUAUUGCCUUACAUUCUUGCAGAAAGAUGGCGACUGUCAUUCAUAAUCCAUUAAAAUCGGAUCAUAAAGGGAACACUUAUAGCUGCAGACACACUGAUAAUCAGGGUUUGCGUGGAAAUCUUCACACAGUCUGACAAAAGCUGCUGAUUUAUGCACGCAGACACAACCGGAGCAGAUUACAGCAGGAUGCGUUCAGAAGGAAAGCUGCCUGAGGACGACAAACCUGAAGUUUUAUGGAGGCAAAAGUGCUGCUUCUUGUCCAGCUUGACAUUCUUCGCAUAUUCGAGUGGCGUCCUCACCGACUGACUUUCAGCAGGACGGAUAUAUGAACGUACUGAGAACAGAGAACCAGAUGCUGCCCAGAUAUACCAACCCAAGCCAGGCUGAUUCUGCUGAUAUAAACUGAUCCAUUAAGCGUAUUUGUUGUGUAGUAUUUGAUCUGACACCCUUCACUCAUCUGUUUGAGAAGCUGCAACAUUUAUUCUAGUGUUUCUUUCUGAGUUUUUUUUUCUCACUCUUUUUCUGUUUUGACUCUUUUAGCUCUGGUGUCCYCGCGUCACUUCUGAUGAGUCUAAAGAUGGCAGACUUUACAAAACAGAAUAAUCCAUUCGGUGGGGAGAAGUCACUGCUUCCUCUCUUGUCAAACAUUUACAUAAAAACAUUUAAAAUACAGCAUUACAGAUAGAGCUGGGCGAUAUGAUCAAAAUUUUAUA